rnacentral:misc_RNA from 1 species
UUGAUAGCUUCCCAUCAGACUCAGAUGCAAACUCUUUUCAGCGUUUUAAACUCUGAUCCUCCGGCAGCCGGGCACAGCACCCGGAACCCUGAACCAGGCCGCCGUGACGGCAGCGCUGGCAAGGCCGUGGCCCCCCCUGGGCCGCCUGCCGAAGCAACGACAAUAGGUAUGUUCACAGUGGGGUUUGAGCCGUUCAGGACUCUGUAAUGAUCCCUCCGCUGGUUCACCAACGGAGA